AUUUCUCCGAAUUGUGAAGGUCAUCAGGAGUAUGCUCCCUUUCAUGUUAAUAUGGAUUUAUUAUUGAAAACACUUGAAGUUUUCUUUUCACAUGGCAUAUCAUGUGGUCUUCUUGAGAGAAAUGCACAGAGACUUGAAAAUAGUUCUCUAAGUGAAUGUAGACAGCUUUCUUCUGUGGUCUCAUCUGUUUCAUGUGCCCUCAUUGCAAUCCCCCUCUGGACUUAACCUGGGAUCUUCAAGCUUCAAGGAUGCAAAUACUUCAAGUGUUUCACGAUUCUUCUAGAGGUAAGACUAGAUGACAUAACAGUCGACAUUUAUUUCUCACAGUUCUGGAGGCUGGGAUGUCCAAGAUCAGGGUGCUGGCAGAUUCCUGAUGCGGGUCCCUUAUCUGACUUGUAGAUAGUAGGCUACCUUCCGGUUGCAUCCUCACAUAUCAGAACGGGACAGAUGGAAGGGAUCAUUCCUGAGAUAUCUCCGCUAUCUCAUGUAUGUGAGAGAGAGAGAGCGAGCGAGAGAGCGAGCAAGCGAGCAUGGGAGAGUGCACACGGGGAAGUCAUUUCUCCUCUUAUAAGGAUACUAACUGUGUCAUGAGAGUCCCAUCCUCUUGACCUCAUCCAAACCUAAUUGCCUCCUAGAGCCCCACCUCCAAAUAUAACAAUGAGAUUUAAUUCUUCAACAUAUGAACUUUAGGGAGCGGCAAAUAGAGCAUUCAACUUAGCAUUCUGUCUCCAUCCCCCAAAUUUCAUGUCCUUCUUGCAUGUAAAACACAGGAAUUGCAUGCCCACAGCUCCCAAAUUCUUAACUCAUUUCAAUAAUAACCUUAAAGUUCAAAAUCUCAUUUAAAUAUUAUCUAAAUCAGAUAGAGGUGACUUGAGAUUCAUUUUAGCCUGAGGCGAAAGUUUCUCUCCAGCUGUAAAUCUGUGCAAACAGGUAAGUUGUGUUUCCAAAAUACAGCAGUCUGCAGGAUAAACGUUCCUAUUACAAAAGCGAGAAUUUUGAAGGAUAUUUAAAGGAAUAAUAACCCCAAACAAGUUCAAAAAUUAGCACCAGGGUGUCUGCCAUCCCAUUAGAUCUCAAGAUAGUGGCCCCACCUUCUGGGUCCUCUGAGGUGACAGUGGCACCACUCCCAGCAUUGAGAGGGACUGUUUUGCUCCAUGAGCACUGCCUUGUCAGCUCUCCUGGCGGCCUCACCCGAGCAGCCUGCUCAGUGGCAGUCUCACUCCUC
rnacentral:lncRNA from 1 species